rnacentral:rRNA from 1 species
GGUGAAUGCCUUGGUACUAGGAGCCGAUGAAGGACGGGACUAACACCGAUAUGCUUCGGGGAGCGGUAAGUACGCUUUGAUCCGGAGAUUUCCGAAUGGGGAAACCCAGCAUGAGUCAUGUCAUGUUGCCACUUGCUGAACACAUAGGCAAGCGAGCGGGAACCAUCUGAACUGAAACAUCUUAGUAGGAUGAGGAAGAGAAAGUAAAUAACGAUUGCGAAAGUAGUGGCGAGCGAAAUCGCAACAGCCCAAACCUUUUAAGUUUUUGCCUAUUAAUUUAGGCAAAUAAGUUGAUAGACGAAUACUUAUAAGGGGUUGUGAUAUUACAUAUGACCAAGUCAGAGAAUUUGAUUCAUUCAAAUAAUCUGAUUUGCGAUAACUGGCUAUCAACAGUUAGUAAGGUAAGAAAUCGGCGUGGUUAGUAGAAUAGUUUGAAUGACUAGCCAAAGAGCGUGAAAGCCGUGUAUGCGAAAACGACGCUGACCUUAUAUGUGUUUUAUCGAGUAGGACGGGGCACGAGAAACCCUGUUUGAAUCUGGCUGGACCACCAGCCAAGGCUAAAUAUAAUAUACGAUCGAUAGUGAACUAGUACAGUGAUGGAAAGGUGAAAAGAACCCCGGGAGGGGAGUGAAAUAGAUCCUGAAAUUUAGUGCCUACAAGGAGUCGGAGCCGGCUUGUCCGGUGACGGCGUGCUUUUUGUAGAACGAUCCAGCGAGUUAAUUUUUACAGCGAGGUUAAGUCAAUUGACGGAGCCACAGUGAAAGCGAGCCUGAAUAGGGCGAUUAAGUUGUAAGGAUUAGACCCGAAACCGGGUGACCUAACCAUGAGCAGGUUGAAGCCACUGUAACAGGUGGUGGAGGACCGAACCAGGAUACGCAGCAAAGUGUUUGGAUGACUUGUGGUUAGCGGUGAAAUGCCAAUCGAACUCGGAGAUAGCUGGUUCUCCUCGAAAUAGCUUUAGGGCUAGCGUCGUGUUAGUAGCACAUGGGGGUAGAGCUCUGUAAAGGACUGGGGCGGGCAACUGUACCCACCCUUAACAAACUACGAAUACCAUGUGUGUAAUCACGGCAGUUAGAACAUCGGUGCUAAGAUCGGUGCUCAAAAGGGAAACAGCCCAGACCAUCAUCUAAGGUCCCUAAAUUAACGUUCAGUGGGAAACAAGGUGAGAUUUCUUAAACAGCUAGGAUGUUGGCUUAGAAGCAGCCAUUCAUUUAAAGAGUGCGUAACAGCUCACUAGUCAAGAGAUCUUGCGUGGAAAAUGUAACGGGGCUAAAACGUUAUACCGAAGAUAUGGAUGUCAGAUUUAUCUGGCGUGGUAGAGGAGCGUUCCUAUCAGCAGUGAAGUCGAAUCGGAAGGUUCGGUGGAGCGGUAGGAAGUGAGAAUGCUGGAAUGAGUAACCAUAAGAGAGGUGAGAAUCCUCUCGGCCGUAAGAGCAAGGUUUCCUGAGCCAUGGUAAUCAUCUCAGGGUUAGUCGGGCCUAAGCCGAGGCGCAGAGCGUAGGCGAUGGACAUCAGGUUAAUAUUCCUGAACCGGUUAAGUUUUGUACACUGUUCACGGGGAAGUAAUCGAAGCGGAUUCAUGGUUUAUCCGUCCAACCGAGCGGGAACGCAAAGGGAGUGAAAGUGAUUCUUCGGAGUCGCGAUUUUGGUGAAAGCCCUGGCUAGAAAAGCAGGUGUACGCGUGGACUUAGCCGCCCGUACCGCAAACCAACACAGGUGCUCGAGUCGAGUAGACUCAGGCUUACGAGCGAACCUUCGCUAAGGAACUCGGCAAUACAGCGACCGUAACUUCGGGAUAAGGUCUGCCCCCACUUCGGUGGAUAUCAGCCGCGUUCACUCAGUGAAUAUUAGGUUAAAGAGUACAUUUUUAAUCACAAAACGAAUUUUCUGAGAUAGAGCAAACGAAUUGUUCUUUUGAACGCGAACCUCUGACAUCUAACGAUGUGGGGGCCGCAGCAAAAGAGCCCACGGAACUGUUUAUCAAAAACACAGGUCUCUGCUAACACGAAAGUGGAUGUAUAGGGGCUGACUCCUGCCCAAUGCUGGAAGGUUAAGGGGAGCGCUUCACGGUGCGAACUGAAGCCCUAGUCAAUGGCGGCGGUAACUAUAACCGUCCUAAGGUAGCGAAAUUCCUUGUCAGGUAAGUUCUGACCCGCACGAAUGGAGUAAUCAUGUGGGCACUGUCUCAGCGAAGGACUCGGUGAAAGUGCAUUGGCGGUAAAGAUGCCGUCUGUCCGUACCAGGACGAAAAGACCCCAUGGAGCUUUACUACAGCUUUACAUUGAAUAUGGUUUCAACAUGUGUAGCAUAGGUGGGAGACUUUGAAGCAGAUACGCCAGUAUUUGUGGAGUCACCAAGUGAAAUACCACCCUUGUUGUGAUUGUGUUCUCACGCUGACCGUUAUCCGGUUAGCGGACCGUGUAUGGUGGGUAGUUUAACUGGGGCGGUUGCCUCCUAAAGAGUAGCGGAGGCGUUCAAAGGUUGGCUAACUUCGGAUGGAAAUCGAAGUGAUAGUGUAUGCGCAUAAGCCAGCUUGACUGUGAGGAGUACAUUCCAAUCAGAGACGAAAGUCGGAGCAAGUGAUCCGCUGUACGUACAUUUGUACAUGAACGUGGGAUUGACAGCGCAAACGGAUAAAAGU